GAUGAACGCUGGCGGCGUGCUUAACACAUGCAAGUCGAACGAACCUUCGGGGUUAGUGGCGGACGGGUGAGUAACGCGUGAGAAUCUGCCCUCAGGAGGGGGAUAACGGCUGGAAACGGCCGCUAAUACCCCAUAUGCCGAGAGGUGAAACGAAUUUCGCCUGAGGAUGAGCUCGCGUCUGAUUAGCUAGUUGGUGGGUAAAAGCCUACCAAGGCGUCGAUCAGUAGCUGGUCUGAGAGGAUGAUCAGCCACACUGGGACUGAGACACGGCCCAGACUCCUACGGGAGGCAGCAGUGGGGAAUUUUCCGCAAUGGGCGAAAGCCUGACGGAGCAACGCCGCGUGAGGGAUGAAGGCCUCUGGGCUGUAAACCUCUUUUCUCAAGGAAGAAGAUCUGACGGUACUUGAGGAAUAAGCCACGGCUAAUUCCGUG
rnacentral:rRNA from 1 species